rnacentral:lncRNA from 1 species
UUCCUUCUUCCGUAAACCAUAUCGAUCAACAGCAGGCAAUCAGACUCGAUCACCAGAUUUUUGUUGGUGAGACCUUGAUGCUGCAGGUGAAGCAAAGUCAAGGUAAGGGCCUGUACCUCUGAUUGAAGUGCCGAAGCAGCUGUGAAUCUGCUGGUAUAUACAUCUGUGAGGAAUCCCUGAUGGUUGCGACUUAUACAGGCCAUCGUUCCCUCCCGACUACCAGGACGGUAGGAUCCAUCUAUGUUACAUUUGAGGAAGCCGCGUUCCGGAGGUUGCCAAAAACUCGCAGGUUUGGAGAUAGAAUCCCCUUUGUGCGAGGCCCCUGUUCUGUGGUGAGUCUGAUCCGAGAGCUGUUGGAUUCGUGUUUGGGCCAAGGCGUCGGCAACUGCUCGAUUUGGAUCAAGGCGAUGGCCACGAAAGAUACUGUUGUUGCGCAUACACCAGAUCUGCCACAGGACAUGAGCUAUUGUCUCCAACCCAGGUAAGAGUUUCUGAUACACGGCUCUUUCUGUAAUCCAUUGGUCCAAACGAUGCAUAGCUUGAUUUGAUACAGAGAUAUUCAGAUUAGGAUGAUUCCAGACUCCUAUAGUCCAUGGACAGAAGAAAAAUAGAUGUUCACUGGUUUCGGGGGUUUGCUGAUCACAUAGAGUACAUAUAGGAUCCGGGGUUAUAUGUCGAUGAUAUAGAUUAGCUCUAGUAGCAAGGGCAUUCUGGCAAGCUGUCCAUAGGAAAAUUCGGAUUUUCGGUGCUGCCUGCAUUGUCCAUAUUUUUCGCCAAAGAUUGCUAGGAUUCUGAUAUGAUGUUGAGGCUUGAUGGUUGUUUGGUAUAGCUGCUGAGCGGACUAUAGUAGUGUAAUUGCUCUUUACCGUAUACUGUCCAUCUUUUGUUUCCGUCCAAACUAAUUGGUCAG